rfam:chromosome IV of strain GB-M1 of Encephalitozoon cuniculi (Microspora)
GGCUCGGUGGUCUAAGGGUAUGAUCUCCGCUUUGGGUGCGGAGGGCUCCAGGUUCAAAUCCUGGCCGAGCCC